AUGAUUUUUUGUGUGUAAUAAUUUUGUGGUUAGACUCGCACGUUAAAUAAUUUGAAGUUCGAAUCCAUUUUGGGGAGUAGAAUCUAACAGACAUGGAAACACCAUUGAUAAUUAAAAGCUUUAAUUCAGAAAGUGAUUAUUUGGCAGUGAAAAGCUUGAAAGAUGUUAAAUAUGUUUUGUGGAAUGAAACAGUGAAGAUAUGGAAGAUAGCACUUCCAGUGGCACUUUCUUUACUGUUUCAAAAUCUCAACAACUCUUCAACUUCAAUUUAUGCUGGUCAUCUUGGAGAUAUUGAACUCUCUUCUUUCUCUGUUUAUCAAAGUGUCAUCAAUUCUAUUUAUUUCUCUAUGCUGUAUGGCAUGUCAAAUGCACUAGCAACACUAUGUGGUCAAGCUUAUGGCGCAGGACAAUUUCGAAAUGCUGGAAUUUAUCUUCAAAGAUCAUGGAUAGUACUCUUAACAACUUGCAUACUCCUCUUGCCAAUUCAACUAUAUGCAACUCCAAUCUUAAAAUUUUUUGGCCAAGAAAAAGAAAUAGCCGAUCUAGCAGGCAAAUAUGCUAUUCUCGUAAUUCCCUACAUGUUUUCCUAUGCUAUCAAUUUACCCCUUAUGAAAUUUCUUCAAGCACAAAGCAAAGUUAAUGUGAUUAUGUACAUAUCAGUUGUGACAUUGUUAAUACAAAAUGGUCUACUUUAUAUAUUCAUCAAUGUAUUUGAUUUUGGAAUAAUUGGUUUAGCCAUGGCAAGUAAUAUCUCAGGAUGGAUAUUUUCUGUUGCAUUAGUAAUUUAUGCAAUUGGUUGGUGUAAAGAAGGUUGGAAUGGAUUAUCUUUGAAGGCAUUUAAGGAAUUAUGGGAAUUUACUAAACUAAGUCUUGGUUUAUCUGUAAUGAUAUGUUUAGAACAAUGGUAUUCUGCUUGCAUUAUGCUUCUUGCUGGUCACCUUGAUAAUCCUGUCAUUGCUGUUGGUUCCUUUUCAAUUUGCCUUAAUAUUCAGGGUUGGAACUUGAUGCUGCUUCUUGGAGUAAGUUCAGCAGUAAGUGUUCGUGUCUCAAAUACACUUGGCAUGUCACAUCCAAGAGCAGCCAAAUACUCUUUCUUGGUGACAAUGUUUCAGUCUCUUCUCCUUGGAAUCAUUUUCAUGACUGUAAUUUUCUUGAGUAAACAAGAAUUUCCUAUGAUCUUUACAAAGAGUGAGGAUAUGAUACAUGCUGCUAGUGAAUUGGCAUACCUUCUUGGUAUAACCAUGAUUCUCAAUAGUGUUGCACAAACUAUAUCAGGUGUGGUCAUUGGUUGUGGAUGGCAAGUUAUGGUUGGUUACAUAAACUUGGCAUGUUAUUACAUUGUUGGACUCCCUAUUGGAAUUUUCCUUGGUUUCAACCAGCAUUUAGGGGUCAAGGGUCUCUGGGGAGGCACAAUGUGUGGCAGUGUUCUUCAGAUUUUAGUCCUUGCAGUCAUUAUUUAUAAGACCAAUUGGACUAAGGAGGUAGAGCAAACUGCUGAUCGCAUGCGAACUUGGAGCACUAACAAGUAACAACGACCUUAAAACGGACGUGAUUUAUUGGUUGUCAGUAUAAAACUAUUUUACACAAAUGAUCCGUAGAGAGAGAAAUUAAUGCACAGAUUUCUUCGCAAAACUUGGAGCCUCCUCAGAUGCUGAUAUGUUUAUUCAUGCUUCUCCUCCAAAAAAUAUUCUUGAUCUUCUAAUUAAGAAUCGACGCGGCUGAAACUUUUUUUCUUAAGGAAUAAUACUCUUCUUUUUUCUUUUUUCUUUUCUUUUGCCUAUUUUUCUUUCUUUUUUGUUUAACUUUGUAACAAAAAAAAUUGUACCUAUAUACCACUAUAAAUCUAAGACCACCGCACACGUUACACAUUCAA